CUCUGAAGUGAUCACUGCUUCCCUCCCACCCUCUACCUUGCUUAAACACUGCACUCUAGAAGCAAGCUGCCUCAAACAGCUAAGAAAACAGAAGUCUCCAGAAGAAACCACCCCAAGUAAAACCUCCCCUAAGCUUCAACAUGGAUUGACUGGCAGGUGAAAUUGUGAAGGGUCGAUGGCCCAGAAGAGGAUCUGUAAAAUGAGGGGGAAAAAAAUCUUCCUAUAUCUACCACUCCAAGAUAGAAAAGAAUCAUCCUCUACAUGGGAUGGAGCUGAAGAGCUGACAAAACACCACUCUUCAUUCUUAAGAGAAGGGUCAUGAAGAACAGCUUGACUCUACAGAGAGAAACAACAAUGCUUUUAAGAUUUUUCCUAGAAGUCUAAUUCGGUGCUUGCAAUAUGUGCACUACAGGAUUUCAGCAAGCAAGGGGCAUUAUAUCCAGUUAUAAUUUAGUACUGUGAUUGACAGUUUCUUUUCUUUUAAUGUUUUCCCCCCUUGUAAAGAGAUGUGUUUUGGAGGCUAUUAAAUGGUUAUCUGGUUACUUCUUGAGAAGGAUUUUGUGUUCCGGUUGCGAGGGUGGGGUGGGAUUAUCACAUUUCCUCAUUUCUGAGGAAGAUGACAUGAUGUGUCUAACAGGACACCCUCCUCAUUGGUCUUGGAUCUACUUCCACAAAGAGGAUGGAAUUUGGUGGAUUUAUACAUCUGUGAAAUCAGUGUGAGAGAAGAGUUGGGCUGAGGGCAAAUAUUUGUUGAAGCAGACUGGCAACAUGACUAUAGUAUAAAAGGUGGCCAUGCAGCUGGUGAUCUCAAUCAGGAAAUAAUUAUAUUCUAUAUCUAAAUUUCCACUGCAGUUUCAAUGGCAUGUAAUAUUUUUCUUAAUAUCCUGCUCUAAACUAUUUUGUAACAUUAUCGUGAGCUGUGAAACAACUGCCAGAUCCUGCCCCGGAGGUGAUUGUGUUUUAGUGGUGGAAAAGUGAUUCUUGCCCAUCUAAAGCAUCCACAGUGCUAUGUAAAGGUCCAAAGGUCAGGUCCUCAGCUGGUGUAAAUCAGCAUUCUUCCAUUAAAAUCUAUGGAACUGUGCCAGAAUACAUCAUCUGAGGAUCUGACUUUUAUUAUUACGAAUGGUUAGUCUCUCUCUCACACACCACACACACAAAUUGUUCCCAGAAGUGAGUCUAUAAUAGCUAUGGGUCUUUCAGUCUCUCCCUUCUUCUACAAAGCCCAAAUAUACAUGUGACAGUCUAUACUAUUAUGGUCAUCCCUUUUACAAGUCUAUGAUACAUAUUUUGUACAAAAUAUGCCUUAUUGAAGUAUCAUUUGAAAAAUCAGAAU